GGUCUGCUGGCCUAGUGAUUAGAGCGUCCGCCUAGUAUGUGGGAGGUCGUGGGUUUUAUCCCCGGUCGAAUCA